rnacentral:rRNA from 1 species
AGUCGAGGGGCAGCAUUUUAGUUUGCUUGCAAACUAAAGAUGGCGACCGGCGCACGGGUGAGCUAACACGCUAUCCAACCUGCCGAUAACUCGGGGAUAGCCUUUCGAAAGAAAGAUUAAUAUCCGAUAGUAUAUUAAAACCGCAUGGUUUUACUAUUAAAGAAUUUCGGUUAUCGAUGGGGAUGCGUUCCAUUAGUUUGUUGGCGGGGUAACGGCCCACCAAGACUACGAUGGAUAGGGGUUCUGAGAGGAAGGUCCCCCACAUUGGAACUGAGACACGGUCCAAACUCAUACGGGAGGCAGCAGUGAGGAAUAUUGGUCAAUGGACGAGAGUCUGAACCAGCCAAGUAGCGUGAAGGAUGACUGCCCUAUUGGGUUGUAAACUUCUUUUAUAUGGGAAUAAAGUAUUCCACGUGUGGGANUUUUGUAUGUACCAUAUGAAUAAGGAUCGGCUAACUCCGUGCCAGCAGCCGCGGUAAUACGGAGGAUCCGAGCGUUAUCCGGAUUUAUUUGGGUUUAAAGGGAGCGUAGGUGGAUUGUUAAGUCAGUUGUGAAAGUUUGCGGCUCAACCGUAAAAUUGCAGUUGAAACUGGCAGUCUUGAGUACAGUAGAGGUGGGCGGAAUUCGUGGUGUAGCGGUGAAAUGCUUAGAUAUCACGAAGAACUCCGAUUGCGAAGGCAGCUCACUAGACUGCAACUGACACUGAUGCUCGAAAGUGUGGGUAUCAAACAGGAUUAGAUACCCUGGUAGUCCACACAGUAAACGAUGAAUACUCGCUGUUUGCGAUAUACAGUAAGCGGCCAAGCGAAAAGCAUUAAGUAUUCCACCUGGGGAGUACGCCGGCAACGGUGAAACUCAAAGGAAUUGACGGGGGCCCGCACAAGCGGAGGAACAUGUGGUUUAAUUCGAUGAUACGCGAGGAACCUUACCCGGGCCUUAAAUUGCAUUUUGAAUAAUCUGGAAACAGGUUAGCCGCAAGGCAAAUGUGAAGGUGCUGCAUGGUUGUCGUCAGCUCGUGCCGUGAGGUGUCGGCUUAAGUGCCAUAACGAGCGCAACCCUUAUCUUUAGUUACUAACAGGUCAUGCUGAGGACUCUAGAGAGACUGCCGUCGUAAGAUGUGAGGAAGGUGGGGAUGACGUCAAAUCAGCACGGCCCUUACGUCCGGGGCUACACACGUGUUACAAUGGGGGGUACAGAAGGCAGCUACCUGGCGACAGGAUGCUAAUCCCAAAAACCUCUCUCAGUUCGGAUCGAAGUCUGCAACCCGACUUCGUGAAGCUGGAUUCGCUAGUAAUCGCGCAUCAGCCAUGGCGCGGUGAAUACGUUCCCGGGCCUUGUACACACCGCCCGUCAAGCCAUGAAAGCCGGGGGUACCUGAAGUACGAACCGCAAGGAGCUCCUAGG